rnacentral:rRNA from 1 species
GUCGAGGGGUAUAGUAGCAAUACUAGAGACCGGCGCACGGGUGCGUAACGCGUAUGCAAUCUACCUUUUGCAGAGGGAUAGCCCAGAGAAAUUUGGAUUAAUACCUCAUAGUAUAGCAACUUCGCAUGAAGUCACUAUUAAAGUCACAACGGCAAAAGAUGAGCAUGCGUCCCAUUAGCUAGUUGGUAAGGUAACGGCUUACCAAGGCGACGAUGGGUAGGGGUCCUGAGAGGGAGAUCCCCCACACUGGUACUGAGACACGGACCAGACUCCUACGGGAGGCAGCAGUGAGGAAUAUUGGUCAAUGGGCGCAAGCCUGAACCAGCCAUGCCGCGUGCAGGAUGACGGUCCUAUGGAUUGUAAACUGCUUUUGUACGGGAAGAAACCCUCCAACGUGUUGGAGCUUGACGGUACCGUAAGAAUAAGGAUCGGCUAACUCCGUGCCAGCAGCCGCGGUAAUACGGAGGAUCCAAGCGUUAUCCGGAAUCAUUGGGUUUAAAGGGUCCGUAGGCGGUUUUGUAAGUCAGUGGUGAAAGCCCAUCGCUCAACGGUGGAACGGCCAUUGAUACUGCAAGACUUGAAUUAUUAGGAAGUAACUAGAGUAUGUAGUGUAGCGGUGAAAUGCUUAGAGAUUACAUGGAAUACCAAUUGCGAAGGCAGGUUACUACUAAUGGAUUGACGCUGAUGGACGAAAGCGUGGGUAGCGAACAGGA